rnacentral:lncRNA from 1 species
GGAACAGAAAUCAGCUGAGAGGAAGGAAGGAGUUGAACAUUGUGUUUAUACGGUGAAGAGAACGUGACCUGGGAUAGAAGGUGAGUGGACAGAGACGAUCCCAUGAUGCCGUUCAGCCAGACAGAUCCCAGUUUACAGCUUCCAGCAGGGGGGAGGAAAUGACCACAACACAGGAAGUUACAUAGCAGCUCUUCCUCUUCCUAUUGGUUGAGAGGGCAUUGACCUCCACUGUGGAGAGUUAAGGUCCUACCUAUGAGCAGUGGAUCAGACCAUAGCUGAUUACUGACCCCACUCGUCUCUCUCAGGUCCCGUCCCGUCCCCCAGUCUCUCUCAGGUCCCGUCCCCCAGUCUCUCUCGGGUCCGGUCCCGUCCCCCAGUCUCUCUCGGGUCCAGUCCCGUCUCUCUCAGGUCCAGUCCCGUCCCCCGUCCCCCUCAGGUCCAGUCCCCAGUCUCUCUCAGGUCCGGUCCCGUCCCCACCAGAGCCAGCCAGUCAGUGCCGCGUGGCCUCUAUCGCCUCCUGGUGGACAGAGUGGAGGUAGUACGGCUCAGGCUGAGCCCAGGGAAGUGAACUGUAGGGGUUCUGGGUGUGGGACCGUAGAGACCCAGGUUACGGGCUGCAGAUGAACGUCUGUGCUGUUUCACACUCGGGAAGGGAGAGAACACCUGACGGGAGGUGGUCCUGGGAUGGUCCUGGGGCACGGAGGGGCAGGAGAGAGGGAGGGAGGGGGUAACGGGGCUGUGGGGGUUAGAGGUGGUCCUGGGAUGGUCCUGGGGCACGGAGGGGCAGGAGAGAGGGAGGGAGGGGGUAACAGGGCUACCAGGGCUGUGAGGGUUAGAG